GUAGAUAUUUGCUAUGGUCAGAUUGGUAUUGUUGAUUGAUGUAUUUAAGAUAAUGAAUCUGCCGUCUGAAUCAAUAAUGGUGGAGAUAUGAGUUAGUGGGAUUCUCUUGUGAAUCAGGAUAUAAGGGGCAGAGAAUUCUGGUGAUUUUAAUCUAUGGUCGAUAGAGUUUGGCGUAUGGGUUUCUUGAAAAGUAGGCAGAUAUCUGGAUUUAAUUGAUUUAAGUGAAUAAAUAUUUGAUUCCUUUUAGCUUGGGAGCCAAUCCUAAGUAUAUUCCAGUUUAGGAAUUUAAGUGCAGCCAUGAUUUAGGAAUACUGGUGAAAUGCAUCCUGGUAAAUGCUUGCUUUGAGGUGUGUGUCUCUGUGUCAUACAUGCAAUGAGAGGGGGAGGGGUAAAUAAUAGCCACAAUAAAAAAUAUCCAUAGACACUUACAUAUACACAUGUAAACAAGCAUGAUGGUACACAUCGAGAGAUAAGGGAGAGUGAUGGAAGAGGUUCGGAUUUUAAUAAAGGAUGCAACGGUCACUGAAUGUUAGAUGGGUCGUGGUGAGUCAGAAAAGCCAGGGAGUGGUGUUGGAGUCACGGUAGAGCUGUCCUUCUAGGUGUAGUUUGUCCAUCGCCAGGUUGGCACGUUUAUCAUUUUGUCUGUGUUGUUUCAGGAUGGGGUAGAGAGCUUUAUGUCGUUCGUUUAUUUCAUGUGGAAAUUGGUCAUUAAGUUCGUAUUUUGUGCCUUUGAGUUCCUUUCCUUUGCUUCUAAUGAGUUCCUUGUGUUUGAAAUGUUCCAGUUUGGUGACGAUGGGUGAUUUGUUAAUGUGAGAGCUAAGAUGGUGAACACGGUGGAAAGUGAUCUGGUUUAUGGGGUCAGGUGGGAGUUUGAGUUGGGUUCUCAUGAAGUUCUUUAUCGGUGUUUCAGGAUUGUCAGUUCGGCGUUCGGAGAUGCCGAAAAAGAUCAGGUUUUGGCUCAUGCUUCUGGUUUGAAUGUCCAGUAUAGCUUCUCUUACUGUUUUGUUUUCUGUUAUGACCGAGUCCAUUUUUGUUUGUGUUUUGACAGAGGUUAGAGAGGAGUUGUUGGACUGUUCUAACUUUUCGAUGAGAGCGAAGCUCUUUUAUUUCAUCAUGGAGUGAAACCAAUAUGUCAAGUUUUUUAUUGAUGGAUUGUAGGACACUGAACUCGAUUACUGUUGUCUGUAGAUCAUCUAUAUCUGCGGAUGAAGUCUUCAUCUGUUUAUUGGAAUCUUGCUGAGGGGUAACAGGUGUUGUAUCCAUUUUGCACAGGUUGUAAUGAUCGGUGAAGGUUGCUGCCAGGUCGCUAAUUCCUCCAAUAUGUGAAAAAAUCUGUUCCGGUUCUGGUUUACAGGCUGAAAUGUGGGUUAUUGUGUUGUUAAUAAUAGAGAAAAUUGCCAUAAAGAAGUCAAGAAGUCAAGGAUUUGUUAGUUUAUCUCAGUGACCGGGCACCACCAGGAUGGAUCUCACCGCCUCCUUACAAGUUAAAAAAACAACAACAUCGCCUACAACAACUUCUACAACAUCACCUGCAAACACAGCCUCUCCUUACCUGUGGCAGAUGCCUGUUCGUGUGGUGAUCUUAAUACUUUAUUUAAUCCUGAUGAUCAGCAUCACCGUCACUACCUGGAGAAGAGUGCAACAGAUACAGAAGCAACACACAGCAGAAACAGAAAAUCAUCUCUGAUCCUCCAUCACACAGAAACAAGAGCGGUAAAAACCAACCUGUCAACAGUGUUCAUCCUCAUACAGUCUGACAG